UUGCAUCAAAUUCUUCUUAUCAAUAUAUGAACAUGAAGGAAACUUCGUGGAAACUUACAAAAGGACGACAAGUACGUGGCGGUGUCACGGGGGUUGUCGUUACUUUACUCUUCUUCAAGGGGCCACGACUCACGAGCUUCCAAGUUCCAACUUUGAUCCCAAUAUUCUUAUUAAAACUACAAUAACCCAUGUCGAGAAGAAAAAACCAAUAACUGAGGAGGUAUACUACAUAAGCUCUUCCUGACGGACCUUCUUGAGUUACAAAGGGGUAUGCAUGCUCAAGUGGGGAGAUCGUUAUAGAAUCUCCAACACUCUGACCAAGAGCAUAUAAGAUUGAGGAAAGUGUAGACUUCCUUUGUAUGUCGCAAGGGGUAGUCGUCGGUGGCAAAAGGAUAAUAUCAUUCAUUCUGAUUUCGAGAAGUUCAGAAGACUGUAAUUGUUGCUUUGAUCCUUACUUCAAAUCUCUAUGUUUUGAGUUGUUUUGACAUUGGGGCAUCUUUAGUAGUACAAGACAUAAGCAAAUCUCUUACAUUUAGCAUGUUCAGAGCA